UGGGCUCAGAACGAACGCUGGCGGCGUGGAUAAGACAUGCAAGUCGAACGGAGAUCUUGAAUAGCUUGCUAAUUAAGAUCUUAGUGGCGGACGGGUUAGUAACACGUGAGAACCUACCCUUUAGACAGGAAUAGCCCAUGGAAACGUGGAUUAAUGCCUGAUAGUCUCUACGGAGUAAAUGGUGCCUUCGGGUAUCGCUAGAGGAUGGGCUCGCGCGCCUAUCAACUUGUUGGUGAGGUAAAGGCUCAACCAAGGCGACGACGGGUAGCUGGUCUGAGAGGACGAUCAGCAACACUGGAACUGAGACACGGUCCAGACACCUACGGGUGGCAGCUAGUCGAGAAUCAUUCACAAUGGAGGCAACUCUGAUGGUGCAACGCCGCGUGGAGGGAUGACGGUCCUAGGAUUGUAAACUCCUGUCUAUUGGGGAGUAAGACUUAAGCGUUAAGAGCGUUUAAGUUUGAUAGUACCCGAAGAGGAAGGGACGGCUAACUUCGUGCCGGCG
rnacentral:rRNA from 1 species